rnacentral:rRNA from 1 species
AUUAAGUAUUAAUUAUUUAAAAUUUUUGUAGAAUUUAAAUAAAAGAAAUAAUUUAUUUUUAUUAUUGAAAUAGAAAAAAUUGAUUAUUAUGAUAAAUGAAAGUAUUGUGAAAGAACUAAGUAAUUAAAUUUAAAGAAAAAUAAAUUUUGUACCUUGUGUAUCAGGGCUUAUUAAAUAAUAAUUAAAAAUUAGAUUUUUUCGAAUUUUUAAGAGCUAAAAUUUAAAAAAUUUUAAUGUAAAAUAAUUAUUUAAAAUUGAAUUUUAGUAAUGAAAUGUUAAUCGUUUAAAAAUAUAUCUAAUUAUUUAAGAAAAAAAUUUAAUUUUAUAAUUAAUUAAUUUUUUAUUUAUUUUAAGUAAAAAGUAAUUAAUUUUAAAAAUUUAAAGGGAUAAGCUUUUAAAUUUAAUAUUAAAUUUAAUUUAUUAAAAUUAAAAAUUUAUAGAAUUAAAAGUAUUUUUUAAUAAAAAUUUAUUAUAAAUUGUUUUUAAGGAAAAAAAAAUUUAAAUUAAAAUUAAUUAUUUUAUUAAAUUUUAAAAUUUAUUUAAAAAAUUUUAGAAUUGAUGAUAAAAUUAGUAUAAUUUGAUUUUUAAAAAAAAAAAAUAUAAAAUUUUAAAAAAGGAAUUCGGCAAAAAUAAUUUUUACCUGUUUAUUAAAAACAUCUCUUUUUGAUUAUAAUUUAAAGUAGGGCCUGCCCACUGAAAUUUUUGAAGGGCCGCAGUAUUUUGACUGUGCAAAGGUAGCAUAAUCAUUAGUUUUUUAAUUAAAAGCUUGUAUGAAGGGUUUGAUAAAAAAUUAACUGUCUCUUUUGAAAAAUUAAAAUUUUAUUUUUAAGUUAAAAAGCUUAAAUAUUUAUAAAAGACGAGAAGACCCUAUAGAGUUUAAUUAUAAAAAAUUUCAAAUUUAAAAGAAUAGAUGAAUUUUGAUUUUUUUUAAAAUUUUAUUGGGGUGAUAAAAAAAUUAAUAUAACUUUUUUUAGUAUAAAACAUAAAUUAAUGAAUUUUUGAUCCUUUGAAAAGAUUAAAAGAUUAAAUUACCUUAGGGAUAACAGCGUAAUUUUUUAUAAAGUUCUUAUUGAAUAAAAAGUUUGCGACCUCGAUGUUGGAUUAAAAUAUAAAUUUGGUGUAGAAGCUAAAUUUUUAGGUCUGUUCGACCUUUAAAAUUUUACAUGAUCUGAGUUUAAACCGGUGUAAGCCAGGUUGGUUUCUAUCUUUAUUAAAAAAUUAUAUUUUAGUACGAAAGGACCAUUUAUAAAUUUAAAAAAUUUGAGUUGAAU